AGCAGUAGGGAAUCUUCCGCAAUGGACGAAAGUCUGACGGAGCAACGCCGCGUGAACGAUGAAGGCUUUCGGGUCGUAAAGUUCUGUUGUUAGGGAAGAACAAGUACCAGAGUAACUGCUGGUACCUUGACGGUACCUAACCAGAAAGCCACGGCUAACUACGUGCCAGCAGCCGCGGUAAUACGUAGGUGGCAAGCGUUAUCCGGAAUUAUUGGGCGUAAAGCGCGCGCAGGUGGUUCCUUAAGUCUGAUGUGAAAGCCCCCGGCUCAACCGGGGAGGGUCAUUGGAAACUGGGGAACUUGAGUGUAGAAGAGGAAAGUGGAAUUCCACGUGUAGCGGUGAAAUGCGUAGAGAUGUGGAGGAACACCAGUGGCGAAGGCGACUUUCUGGUCUAUAACUGACACUGAGGCGCGAAAGCGUGGGGAGCAAACAGGAUUA
rnacentral:rRNA from 1 species